GACGGGGGGAUGCAAGUGUUAUCCGGAAUCACUGGGCGUAAAGCGUCUGCAGGUGGUUUCCUAAGUCCCACUGUUAAACCUUGAGGCUCAACCUCAAAUCGUGCAUUGGAAACUAGGAGACUUGAGUAUAGUAGGGGUAGAGGGAAUUUCCAGUGGAGCGGUGAAAUGCGUAGAUAUCAAGAGGAACACCUGAGGCGAAGGCGGGUGCUAGGCUGACACGUGACGCUGAGUGCGCGAAAGCCAGGGGAGCAAACGGGG
rnacentral:rRNA from 1 species